GACGAACGCUGGCGGCGUGCUUAACACAUGCAAGUCGAACGAAGCUUGAUUACGGAUUUUUCGGAUGAAGUAUGAUAUGACUGAGUGGCGGACGGGAGAGUAACGCGUGACUAACCUGCCCUUCAGAGGGGGAUAGCGUUUCGAAACGAACGUUAAUACCGCAUAAUGUAUUUUUACCGCAGGAUCGAAAUACCAAAGAUUUAGGGCUGAAUGAUGGAUGCGCGUCUGAUCAGGUAGUUGGUGGGGUAACGGCCUACCAAGCCGACGAGCAGUAGCCGGACUGGGGACUGGGACGGGCCCAUUAGGACUGAGACACGGCGCAGAGUCCUACGGUAGGCAGCAGUGGGGAAUAUGGCACAAUGGGGGCGAGCCUGAUGCAGCGACGCCGCGUGAAGGAAGACGGUUUUCGGAUUGUAAACUUCUGUUCUUAGUGAAGAAUAAUGACGGUAGCUAGGAAGAAAGCCACGGAGAACUACG
rnacentral:rRNA from 1 species